rnacentral:rRNA from 1 species
ACGUAGGUGACAAGCGUUAUCCGGAAUUACUGGGCGUAAAGCGCACGCAGGCGGCUGUUUAAGUCUGACGUGAAAUCUCCUGGCUUAACUGGGAGGGGUCGUUGGAAACUGGUCGGCUUGAGGCAGUGAGAGGGGUGUGGAAUUCCCGGUGUAGUGGUGGAAUGCGUAGAUAUCGGGAGGAACACCGGUGGCGAAAGCGGAUCUCUGGCGCGUUACUGACGCUGAGGCUCGAAAGCGUGGGGAGCAAACGG